ACCUUAGAGACCAACUAAAUUUGUUCUGGGUCUAAGCUUUCGUGUGCAUAAAGUGUGCAUGCAUGAAGUGUGCAUGCACACGAAAGCUUAGACCCAGAACAAACUUAGUUGGUCUCUAAGGU